rnacentral:lncRNA from 1 species
UUGAUUCUAACAUUUGAAUUUUGAUUAUAAUACUCAUGCGAGAAUUUAUUAUUUAUAUAAUAAUAGUUUUAGAAAAAUAAAAUAUUGAAAUUAAAUAUUUUUAUAAUGGCAACAUCACAAUGCUCAGUUGGAUUGAUUUUAAAAUCAAAUCGUCACAAGUUAACAUUUACAAACCACAUUGGAAUAAACUUUUUUCAAGAUUUAGCUCCAGAUGAGCAAAAUUUAGUUGUUGGUGUUUCUUUUGUUUUGAUUAUUGACUUAUGUUUUCAUCAUCAAAAGUUUUAUGUUGAGAAGUUCCCUGUGUUUCAGAAUAAAUUCUGUGAUCCACUGUUAAUUAAACAAAGUACCGUGCAAAGAAUCUCUCAGAGAAGUCAAGAACUAUAAGCUUUAAACAACAGGAUCAAUAUUGUACCUGGUCAAAAAAUUUGUACAAAUUGGUUAGUCAAAUUAAAAGCUUCCACUGAAAUUAAUACUGAUAACAUUAAUAUUGUUGAUGAUUACACAAAUGAAAUUAUAAAUAAAGAAAACAUAUUUAGUGUUCAACACGAAGCUGAUAUAAAUAAAAACAGACAAGAAUUUUCUGAUUGUCUCAGUAUAAUUGGUGUGUCACCAGUCAAGCUUCACAGAAAGCCAUUUGCAAAUCGUAUGAGUAUUGGGAAAAAAAAAAUUAAAACUACUUUUGUCAAGCUUAAAAGAGUUAUUUGUCUAAUUUAAUAUUCUAUAUCCACAUGUAAAGUUAGGUUUUUCAAAGUUUUGUGUUUUAAGACCUAAAUGGUGUGUUUUGCCAAACUCAUCAGGAACCCAUUCUGUGUGCGUUUGUAUCUACCAUCAAAACAUGAAGUUAAUUCUCCUACUCAUUAAAAUUGAUUACCACGAACUAUAUAAAUUUAUUGUUUGUGAUAUGCAAAACAAAGAAUGCAUGUUACAUCGAUGUAAACAAUGUCCGAAAAAUACAUCUAAAUUAGAAGAAAAGCUAUUCAAACUAAUAAGGCAGUUUGAAGAAGAAGAUACUAUUGAAUUUAACCAGUGGGUUACUACUGAUAGAUCAGGUUUAGUUAUACAGCUUGCAACCAUACCAGAUUAUGUAAAUAUGGUGAUGGAAAAACUAGUCAAGCUAACAACGCAUUCAUAUAUUUCUAAAUGUCAAUCUAAAUAUUUAAAAAAUAUAGAAAAACUCCCAUCAGGUAGCGCAAUAAUUCUAGGAGAUUUUGCAGAAAAUUAUAGUUUUGUUGUGCAGGAUUAAGUACAAGGUUUCCAUUGGAAUAAUCUCCAGUGCACACUUCAUCCAGUGGUUGUGUACUAUAAAGAAAAUCAAGUGUUACAUUCCACUUCAUAUUGCAUUAUAUCAGAUGAUAACAAUCAUGAUGUACCAAUGAUUUACGAGGUACAAAAAUCAAUUAUCAAUAAUCUGAAGCAAAAAAUACCCAACAUUGUAAACGUGGUCUACUUUUCAGAUGGCUGUUCAUCUCAAUAUAAAAACUGCAAAAAUAUAUUUAACCUAUGUCAGCAUAAAUCAGAUAUAAACUUUAUUUUUAUUUCAAGUGAAAGUUUGAUAGAAACAAGAUUAUUACAAUCUGAACAAUUUAAAAAUGUAAAAACAAUACCAGGAACAAGAGACUUUCAUGAAUUUGUUCCUGUAUGUCAUAAUGAAGUUAAGAUGAAAUACUGCAGUGAUGACACUAUCCCUAUCUUGACCUACAAGUUUAAAAAUUGCGAGAUGCAAAGUGAUGUGCAAAAUUGACAUGGAAUUUUAAUUUAUGCACCAACAUGGCCCUUGAAUCUUAAAGAUAUUUUCUUGCUUCCUUUUAUCAAUUAUUACUUUGAAUCGACAGUUUGCUUAUGUCUAUGAUAUGUAUAUGACAAUAUUUUGCAUUUAUUAAAAAAUAUUACCUAA